AUACAUUCGUGUGAAGAGGGAAGAUGGU
rnacentral:sRNA from 1 species